CCUACGGGUGGCAGCAGUGGGGAAUAUUGGACAAUGGGCGAAAGUCUGAUCCAGCCAUGCCGCGUGUGUGAAGAAGGCCUUCGGGUUGUAAAGCACUUUCAGUGGGGAAGAAAGCCUUGGGGCUAAUACCCUCGAGGAAGGACAUCACCCACAGAAGAAGCACCGGCUAACUCCGUGCCAGCAGCCGCGGUAAUACGGAGGGUGCGAGCGUUAAUCGGAAUUACUGGGCGUAAAGCGCGCGUAGGCGGUCUGAUAAGCCGGUUGUGAAAGCCCCGGGCUCAACCUGGGAACGGCAUCCGGAACUGUCAGGCUAGAGUGCAGGAGAGGAAGGUAGAAUUCCCGGUGUAGCGGUGAAAUGCGUAGAGAUCGGGAGGAAUACCAGUGGCGAAGGCGGCCUUCUGGACUGACACUGACGCUGAGGUGCGAAAGCGUGGGUAGCAAACAGGAUUAGAUACCCGAGUAGUC
rnacentral:rRNA from 1 species